rnacentral:tRNA from 1 species
GGGGUGUGUGGCUCAGCGGUAGAGCAUCUGUGUGGUGUGCAGAAGAUCCCAGGUUCAAUCCCCAGCAUCUCCA